GACGAACGCUGGCGGCGUGCUUAACACAUGCAAGUCGAACGGAAAGGCCCUGCUUUUGUGGGGUGCUCGAGUGGCGAACGGGUGAGUAACACGUGAGUAACCUGCCCUGGACUUUGGGAUAACUUCAGGAAACUGGGGCUAAUACCGGAUAGGAGCUCCUGCUGCAUGGUGGGGGUUGGAAAGUUUCGGCGGUUGGGGAUGGACUCGCGGCUUAUCAGCUUGUUGGUGGGGUAGUGGCUUACCAAGGCUUUGACGGGUAGCCGGCCUGAGAGGGUGACCGGCCACAUUGGGACUGAGAUACGGCCCAGACUCCUACGGGAGGCAGCAGUGGGGAAUAUUGCACAAUGGGCGGAAGCCUGAUGCAGCAACGCCUCGUGCGGGAUGACGGCCUUCGGGUUGUAAACCGCUUUCGCCUGUGACGAAGCGUGAGUGACGGUAAUGGGUAAAGAAGCACCGGCUAACUACGUG
rnacentral:rRNA from 1 species